UCGAAGGGAGGGGAGGGUGAAUUAAGUAAGUAAUAUUGUCAAAUUAAAAUUUGCAAACUCAGAAUUCAAACAUGACAGACGUAAGUAUAGAGUAAGUAUAAUAACAAAUUGAAAUGCAGAAAGUAAUGAGUAACACUUUAUUUCGUAGGACAGAGAUAAGAAAGAGAGAUAGAAUGGAGAAACCCACAUCACCCUCAUUUGGUUGGGGAAGAAAGGUGAUUAAAUCGCGUGGUCCCUACCACAUCACCCUCUUUUAUUAUUUCUACCCAUUCUACCCUUGUCUUCUCGAGAGUUUUUCUUCGGUUCUUCCUUGUUUUCCACCGUGAGUCGAUCUCACCAUGCACCAUGUAUCCUUAGCACUGGCGUCAACGUGCACUUCGACAGCUGAGCAUCCGUUGUCAACGAGUCGAUCGAUCUUCCCAUCACCAUCUUCAACCCAGCGUACGAUGCCCACCAUCUUUCGAUGACCCAACUAGCGAUACGUUCAGCAAUCCGAUGACUCACUUCUACGAAUUGCACUUUAUUAAUUCUGUCACUAAGCUCAGUUUGCAAAAUGAAAAAGGGUAAGAGUCAAACUGUGGAAUCUAGUCAAGUCCGUCAAGAAGUCUUGAGGGGGACGAAUGACAUGGACCAAAUGUUAUUGAAUGCCUUUAGCGAGGAGUCCGCCAAGGGACAUAGGUAUGGAGGUUCAUGGACAAUAGUAGCCUAUGCUAAUGUUCUUGAUGCAUUGUGGAUUGCUAUUUCAUCAACCAUAAGGAAGCAACAUAUCAUAGCUAGAAUGAGGGCCUUGAGGGUUAGGUCAGCUAGGAUGAGUGAUGGUGAACUCCUUUAACUACUCAUGUUUAGCCAUAAUGCUUAGUUGUCAUUAUGUAUGAUGUACUUUCUUUAAGUAUUUGUAGUAAGGACAUCAUUUGAUGCCUCUUGGUUAUUAUGUAAUUUGAAAUCUAUUUUGGAAGACGUAGGAAGUUAGAGAAGGUUCCUUGAUGAAAUAUGUUUUACGACAAAUAUGUUGCAAUCCUUGUGGAUAUCAUGUAUGGAUUAUAUGUAAUUAAAUUGUAAGUAACGCAACAUGACUACUUUUAUUUCAUCCCUUCAGUAGUUGUUAAUC